AUCAACGAAAGAAGAAGAAAUAAAAAUUGCCUUAGUCUCUACAGCGUAACAGAAGAGCUACGAUAUCGACUAAAUAAAAGUCCCCGGCAACGGCGCCAAAAACUUGAUCGCGACUUUAUGAGUCGAUUGGGGUACUAACUGCAAGUGCACAGUUCUAUCGCGUAGUUUUAAAAGAUAUCGAUCCCACAGGGACUUAUGAAUCGAUAUACCGUUUUCU
rnacentral:lncRNA from 1 species